rnacentral:rRNA from 1 species
GUGGGGAAUAUUGGACAAUGGGCGCAAGCCUGAUCCAGCCAUGCCGCGUGAGUGAUGAAGGCCUUAGGGUUGUAAAGCUCUUUUGUCCGGGAAGAUAAUGACUGUACCGGAAGAAUAAGCCCCGGCUAACUUCGUGCCAGCAGCCGCGGUAAUACGAAGGGGGCUAGCGUUGCUCGGAAUCACUGGGCGUAAAGGGCGCGUAGGCGGACUCUUAAGUCGGAGGUGAAAGCCCAGGGCUCAACCCUGGAAUAGCCUUCGAUACUGGGAGUCUUGAGUUCGGAAGAGGUUGGUGGAAUUGCGAGUGUAGAGGUGAAAUUCGUAGAUAUUCGCAAGAACACCAGUGGCGAAGGCGGCCAACUGGUCCGAUACUGACGCUGAGGCGCGAAAGCGUGGGGAGCAAACAGGAUUAGAUACCCUGGUAGUCC